ACAGUGAAAUCCUCCAAAUCAGGUCAUGUCAAAUUAAGGGAGGUAUUUCGGGAGCCCACCCAAGUCUCCAAAGAGGAUGUCUGAGGGGGCGGAGCCAAAUCAUUACGACAUCAGACUCACCUGGACUGAUCACCUGAGAACUACUUAACCUGUCACUCGGUCUGAUUGAUUCUUCUGUUCUGGUUUUAUCUGGUGUGUUUGUCCAACCUGCAGCUCAGGUCCCUCUCUAUCUCCCCACACAUCCACCAACCACUGGAACACAUCUCCAAAGUUCUGCCAGGCCAGCUCAGCUUCCCCUCAGAAGAAGUGCUGCCACCUGCCAGAUGAAGGAGCCUUUUGAGAGGCAGCUGGCAUCGUGAUUGGACUGUACUUUGGUCUGUUCCAAUCCAGCUUCAGCUCCAGAGACGGCAGGCGGGACGAGUCAACGGAGGCCUGGUGGACGAAGGCAUGCAGCUGAGUACAAUCCAGAAAACAACAGAGGAGGAGUGCAGUGGCCCAGGGCCAGAACAACCAGAGUAGCAUCGUAUGUCUCUUAGAAAACAUCAUAGUAUAGCCUUUGACCAGAGAACUACAGACUCUUCACAACCUCCUCAAACUCUUGGUACAGGACCUCACCACACGGGUCAAGAAGGUUUCUGUCUCA
ensembl:lncRNA